rnacentral:rRNA from 1 species
CCUACGGGUGGCAGCAGUGAGGAAUAUUGGUCAAUGGGCGUAAGCCUGAACCAGCCAAGUCGCGUGAGGGAUGAAGGUUCUAUGGAUCGUAAACCUCUUUUAUAAGGGAAUAAAGUGUGGGACGUGUCCUAUUUUGUAUGUACCUUAUGAAUAAGGAUCGGCUAACUCCGUGCCAGCAGCCGCGGUAAUACGGAGGAUCCGAGCGUUACCCGGAUUUAUUGGGUUUAACGGGUUCGUAGGCGGCGUUUUAAGUCAUCGGUGAAAGUCUGUGGCUCAACCAUAGAAUGGCCGUUGAAACUGGGGGGCUUGAGUAUGUUUGAGGCAGGCAGAAUGCGUGGUGUAGCGGUGAAAUGCGUAGAUAUCACGCAGAACCCCGAUUGCGAAGGCAGCCUGCCAAGCCAUGACUGACGCUGAUGCACGAAAGCGUGGGGAUCAAACAGGAUUAGAUACCCUUGUAGUC